ensembl:lncRNA
CCAAUUGUUCCGCAAAACGUGUCACUUGGUGUAUUUCCGGGGUAGCAUCUACUCCAUUUCCGUUUGGGAGAUGAAAACAUUAGUCCGAUUGUCGGCAUGUACAGUGCUGAGGAUUAUGUAACAGCGUACUCAUUCAGUCGCCAUGAAAUACCAAUAGAUAUGAGUAUACGUUUCCAGCAGUAUAGCGACGACCCUGAUGCCUUUAGGAUAAACCGCCAACACUAAGCCAUUUAAGCCGUUUAUAAUAUAAGGAUGCGCUGCAAUUAACCGCCGGAGAACCGCAUAGACGGUCGGGAGGAGGCGGGCCUGUUACACACUAUCUGAUACACAAUAUCUGUGUGUCAAGUCGACUGCUAUUCAGAGUAGAGGUGAUCGUAUGUUACGAGAGGGGUGGUCCACAUUGCUGAUAACGUUGUGUGUACUCUUAUAAUACAUCCAUGGCUGUACUCUAUUGAGUAUUCAUUACGCAGAGGAAUAAAAUCACGAGUGAACUCUUCAAAUACUGCGAAACAUGGCAUCUCUCAAACAUCGCCUUUCAAUGCCCGUGGUAGCGGGCGUGCUGCUGGUCGGUGUACCCUAUUCAAUCUCCUUAGCGGCCCAGUGGCUGUACGGUUGGCCAAAUAAGCCCGGCUGUAGAAAAUACAUAGAGGCUCUGAGACCCAGGCGAAUCUACUGCCUGACCAGAGCUGUGCUCGAAACACUAAAAUACCUACAGUACGGAAAACUGUACUUCCAGUGGAAGUUAUGGUACAAGAACGAUGAGAACCGGAAACAUUAUGAGAAGGGCAUCACCUUCGGGCGCCGAAGCAACAAGAUGGACCUGUACUACAGCCCCCAAGGGGCCAGGGUGGCCGGGGACAAGCCGGUUCCCCUGGUGGUGUUCAUCUACGGCGGGGCUUGGGGAUCUGGGGACCGGUCCAUCUACUGUCUGCUGGCCAGGCGGAUGGCUGAGGAGCUGGGUGCCACUGUGGCGUGCCCCGACUACGUCACCUACCCAAAGGGGAAUGUUUUGUGCAUGGUCCAAGAUAUCACGGACUGUCUAGUUUGGGCACGAGAGAACGACAAAAAGUACAACUUUGACAAGGACAACAUAGUGUUGGUGGGGCACUCUGCGGGCGCUCAUCUGUCGGCCCUGGCCAUCCUGUUCCUCAUCGACUGCAGAGACGAGCUCUUCGUCGAAGCAGGCAUGCAGCGGAACAUCGCCAAGGCGAUCAAAGGACUCAUUGGUCUGAGCGGCGUAUACAACAUCGUGGAUCACUAUGAGCAUGAGCAAAUGCGAGCGGUGGAAUACGUGUCCACCAUGCAUAAAGCUAUGAAUGGAGUCCACAACUUCCCUUACUACUCGCCAGAGCACAUCCUCAACACAUUCAGCCAAGACAAGCUGGAGAGAUUUGUUUCUCGUCACUCGGCCGGUGUGAAGUGAAAUGGAAUGAAAUGGUUGACGACAGGAGAAUACUAAAAAAACUGCAUUUCCUUCAUGACUCGUUGACUUACUGAUGUAAUUCCGCCAAUCAGCCUCAUCCACGGAACCAAUGACAUCAUCGUUCCUGCCGAAUCGUCCAUCAAGUUCUCCCAGCUCCUGACGUCUCUCUGUGUGAAGACAGCCCUCUACAUACUGCCAAAUAUCGACCACACCGAGAUCGUCACCGACCUCAUGGUGCCUGACCGGCACUUUUACCACGCUGUCUACAGCUGCAUCAAGCAGGAGUACAACAAACUCAUUGGUGUCUGCUGAGGGCCUCCAACUAGGUUCUGAAGGCCGUCACCCGGUCAUCUUUGUGCUCUUUGCCUCAUUUGUAUCCUCGCCUACUACAUACCUCAUUUAUGUUAACGACGUCAUAACGAUUCCAGAGUGGCUUUUCCACUGCAACACACCAUACUUUGUUGGGUCAUAUUGUGUCUGAAUUGUAUUUAAUGCUAUGUAUUCUUAUGACAUUUUGUGUCAUAUUAUGACAUUUAUGAGGUGAUUAUCUUGUAAGAAUUUCAUGACGGAUGUUUUUAAUACGAGCCUUACUGAGUUAAUGGAAUAAUGAAUUGUGUAAAGAUAGUCGUUUUAAUAUAUCAAAAGCCACUGGUAUUAAUGCAGGUUGUAUUGACAUUGAUAUUUAAUAUUAUUAACCUCACUGGAUUUGUCAUGUGAUAACUUUAAGCACAUAACUCUUGCCUUAUGCUGGUCCAUAUAUUGAAUGAAAUGGAUUUUGUGUUGUCGGAAUGUCUCCGUCCAUGUCACCUAUUAAGUUAUUUUGGAAAUUAAAUGUUUGAAGGUACAAUAUGUGUCAAAUUUACUGUCCUAAAAUACUGAGCAUGAUUUGUCAUUAGAGAUGAAGGAAAGUUAGUUCGAAAAUGCUAAGCAAUAUUUGCCAAGUUAAAAUAGUGGCAUCUCUGUCUACAACGCUACAGCGAGUGUGUUCUCC